rnacentral:hammerhead_ribozyme from 1 species
AUCUAACUGAGGAGUCCCAAACAGGACGAAACUCUCAACUUAUAU